GCCGCGGUAGCUCAGUUGGUAGAGCACAUGACUGAAAAUCAUGGGGUCGUCGGUUCGAUUCCGACCUGCGGCA
rnacentral:tRNA from 1 species